rnacentral:rRNA from 1 species
UACGUAGGGGGCGAGCGUUGUCCGGAAUCAUUGGGCGUAAAGCGCGUGUAGGCGGCUCGAUAAGUCCGGUGUGAAACCUUGGGGCUCAACCCCAAGCCUGCACUGGAUACUGUCGAGCUAGAGUCCGGAAGAGGAGAGUGGAAUUCCUGGUGUAGCGGUGAAAUGCGCAGAUAUCAGGAAGAACACCCGUGGCGAAGGCGGCUUUCUGGGACGGUACUGACGCUGAGACGCGAAAGCGUGGGGAGCGAACAGG